AGAGAGAGAGAGAGGAGAGAGAGAGGAUAGAAGCCGUAAAAGCCUAAGCAGAGAGAGCCAGAGAGAGAAAUCGAGAGAUAAUAAGGACAUGGAAAGAGAACACUUCAAUAUUCCUCCUCUUACCUGUUAGCAGGCAUUUGCUAGGACAGGGUUUCCAUGGAACUGACUUAGUACGGCAUAGGGGGGAGGACGUGGGUUUAGGAAAGGUGCAAGAACAUGUUUCUACCGCUGAUGAAAUAAGGGUGUGUUAGUGAGGAGCAGCGUGUUCACAGGUUGAAGGGGGGUCGAGCAGGAAAAGGACAGGGAAGUUAAAGGCAAGGUAGAGCUUGGGCUGUUUCACACAACAGGGUCACGACCUUGAGACCCACACACACACUCUGCUGUCUGGCCUGGCUGGUUGGAGAGGCUUCAGUGAUACCUGAUACAGCCAGGCGAACAUGAUACAAGCCAACAACUGGAUGGAAUUGGUCAUGGCAGAUUUGAAACUCAGUGAUAGUUUAGGUGUUAAGGGUUCAGGUUAUUUUCCCUUGUUCCCUCACAUCUGACUUGUAAUGGAUUGAUUUUCAGCAUGGAGCAGACCUGUGGUCGAGGAACACCGACCACAAAACCCCUGUAGGUCAUAAAGCCACUAUUGGUAGAGCUGGAGCUGGUGGCCAGAAAACCAAGAACAACAUCCCCAAGCAACCGCCAGAAAAAGUGUUUUCCCCUUAACCUCAACCCCAGUGACGGUGGGCCCCUUCCUGGUGUGGGGGGGCAGUGCCCCUGUUCAAGGCCACCCUCCUGUCUGACUGCCUGAAACCAAAGGACCAGCUCAGGAUCCCUGACCGCAGGCCUGAGGAGAGCCUCCGUGCCAGCCCUGCCACUCUGCCCCUCCUCCCGUCCCUCCCCCCAGGCCCGGGCCCCUGCCCCUGUCCCCUAAGCCCGGGGCCAGGAGGCCCAUGCUGGGCGGAGAGGGUGGCCAUGCCCCCAGUUUUCUCCACGAGCUCAACACGGUACUGAGCAAGACCGGGACGCAUCGCCAAGGAGGAGAGCUGAGGGGGGGGGGGGGGAGAACGAGGGAGAGUCCGGAGGAGUCUUCCGGAAGGCAUCGGGGGAAGACACUCGGCGUGAAAGUACUUACGUUCGGAGAGGACGGCGCCCUUUUUCACAGAGGACGACGCGCAUUUAGGAAUUCCCAACAGAGUGAGGGGGUGGAGAGAGCGCAAAAAAAAAAAAAACGAUUGUGACUGUUGAUGUAAGACACAACAAAAUGACUCCCUGCCCGAAUUACAAAAACGGAUCCUAAUGAGACUGAAAAAAAAGAGUUGGAAAGAGGACAGAGGAUAAAAAAUGGAGCCAAUGAGACUGAAAAA